GAGUUUGAUCCUGGCUCAGGACGAACGCUGGCGGCGUGCCUAAUACAUGCAAGUCGAGCGAGCUGAACCAGCAGAUUCACUUCGGUGAUGACGCUGGGAACGCAAGCGGCGGAUGGGUGAGUAACACGUGGGUAACCUGCCCUAAAGUCUGGGAUACCACUUGGAAACAGGUGCUAAUACCGGAUAACAACAAUAGCUGCAUGGCUAUUGCUUAAAAGGCGGCGAAAGCUGUCGCUAAAGGAUGGACCCGCGGUGCAUUAGCUAGUUGGUAAGGUAAUGGCUUACCAAGGCGACGAUGCAUAGCCGAGUUGAGAGACUGAUCGGCCACAUUGGGACUGAGACACGGCCCAAACUCCUACGGGAGGCAGCAGUAGGGAAUCUUCCACAAUGGGCGAAAGCCUGAUGGAGCAACGCCGCGUGAGUGAAGAAGGUUUUCGGAUCGUAAAGCUCUGUUGUUGGUGAAGAAGGAUAGAGGUAGUAACUGGCCCCUAUUUGACGGUAAUCAACCAGAAAGUCACGGCUAACUACGUGCCAGCAGCCGCGGUAAUACGUAGGUGGCAAGCGUUGUCCGGAUUUAUUGGGCGUAAAGCGAGCGCAGGCGGAAAGAUAAGUCUGAUGUGAAAGCCCCCGGCUUAACCGAGGAAUUGCAUCGGAAACUGUGUUUCUUGAGUGCAGAAGAGGAGAGUGAAACUCCAUGUGUAGCGGU
rnacentral:rRNA from 1 species